rnacentral:rRNA from 1 species
UCCAGACUCCUACGGGAGGCAGCAGUGGGGAAUAUUGCACAAUGGGGGAAACCCUGAUGCAGCGACGCCGCGUGAGUGAAGAAGUAUUUCGGUACGUAAAGCUCUAUCAGCAGGGAAGAAAAUGACGGUACCUGAUUAAGAAGCCCCGGCUAACUACGUGCCAGCAGCCGCGGUAAUACGUAGGGGGCAAGCGUUAUCCGGAUUUACUGGGUGUAAAGGGAGCGUAGACGGCAGCGCAAGUCUGGAGUGAAAUGCCGGGGCCCAACCCCGGAACUGCUCUUGGAACUGCGUGGCUGGAGUACAGGAGGGGCAGGCGGAAUUCCUGGUGUAGCGGUGAAAUGCGUAGAUAUCAGGAGGAACACCGGUGGCGAAGGCGGCCUGCUGGACUGCAACUGACGUUGAGGCCCGAAAGCGUGGGGAGCAAACAGGAUUAGAUACCCGUGUAA